rnacentral:rRNA from 1 species
UACGAAGGGGGCUAGCGUUGCUCGGAAUUACUGGGCGUAAAGCGCACGUAGGCGGAUUGUUAAGUCGGGGGUGAAAUCCUGGAGCUCAACUCCAGAACUGCCCUCGAUACUGGCGAUCUCGAGUUCGGGAGAGGUGAGUGGAACUGCGAGUGUAGAGGUGAAAUUCGUAGAUAUUCGCAAGAACACCAGUGGCGAAGGCGGCUCACUGGCCCGAUACUGACGCUGAGGUGCGAAAGCGUGGGGAGCAAACAGG